AGUCGAUCCUAAGAGAUAGGAGAAAUCCGUUUCAAAGUGGGCGUUCUUCGGUUCGCCCCGCCUAUCGAAAGGGAAUUGGGUUAAUAUUCCCAAACCAGGACGUGGAUAUUGAGUGGCAACACAAGCAAAACUGGGGACGCCGAUGGGAUCCCCGAGAAGAGUUCUCUUUUCUUUUUAACAUGCAUGCAAACCCUGGAAUUGGAUUGACCGGAGAUAGGGUUUGAUUGCUGGUAAAGACGAUUAAUUUUUGAUCGUUUCGGUGCGAUUCCAACGGCCCGUGAAAACCCGGUGGCGUGACUUAUUUGCAUUCCUGGUCGUACUCAUAACCGCAUCAGGUCUCCAAGGUUAGCAGCCUCUAGUUGAUAGAAUAAUGUAGGUAAGGGAAGUCGGC
rnacentral:rRNA from 14 species